rnacentral:rRNA from 1 species
AUUGAACGCUGGCUGCAGGCCUAACACAUGCCAGUCGAACGAGUGGCGGACGGGUGAGUCAUGUCUGGGAAACUGCCCGCUGGAGGGGGAUAACUACUGGAAACGGUAGCUAAUACCGCAUCCCCUCGGGUGUGCCCAGAGGGGAUUAGCUAGUAGGUGGGGUAACGGCUCACCUAGGCGACGAUCCCUAGCUGGUCUGUGAGGAUGACGAGCAAGAGUGGAAAUGAGAAACGGGAGAGACACGUACGGGAGGCAGAAGGGGGGAAGAUGGCACAAGGGGCGCAAGGCUGAUGCAGCCAUGCCGCGUGUAGGAAGAAGGCAGUGGGGUGGUAAAGGACUUUCAGCGGGGAGGCGUUACUCGCAGAAGAAGCACCGGCUAACUCCGUGCCAGCGGCCGCGGUAAGUC